rnacentral:rRNA from 1 species
CACGUAGGGUGCGAGCGUUGUCCGGAAUUAUUGGGCGUAAAGAGCUCGUAGGCGGUGUGUCGCGUCGGCCGUGAAAACCUGCAGCUUAACUGUGGGCUUGCGGUCGAUACGGGCAUCACUGGAGUUCGGCAGGGGAGACUGGAAUUCCUGGUGUAGCGGUGAAAUGCGCAGAUAUCAGGAGGAACACCGAUGGCGAAGGCAGGUCUCUGGGCCAUAACUGACGCUGAGAAGCGAAAAGCAUGGGGGAGCGAAACAGG